GUAAGGAAUAUUGGACAAUGGACGCAAGUCUGAUCCAGCCAUGCCGCGUGAAGGAUUAAGGUCCUCUGGAUUGUAAACUUCUUUUAUAAGGGACGAAAAAAGGCUUUUCUAAGUCGUCUGACGGUACCUUAUGAAUAAGCACCGGCUAACUCCGUGCCAGCAGCCGCGGUAAUACGGAGGGUGCAAGCGUUAUCCGGAUUCACUGGGUUUAAAGGGUGCGUAGUCGGGCAGGUAAGUCAGUGGUGAAAUCCUAGAGCUUAACUCUAGAACUGCCAUUGAUACUAUCUGUCUUGAAUAUUGUGGAGGUAAGCGGAAUAUGUCAUGUAGCGGUGAAAUGCUUAGAUAUGACAUAGAACACCUAUUGCGAAGGCAGCUUACUACGCAUAUAUUGACGCUGAGGCACGAAAGCGUGGGGAUCAAACAGGAUUAGAUACCCUGGUAGUCC
rnacentral:rRNA from 1 species